rnacentral:rRNA from 1 species
UACGAAGGGGGCUAGCGUUGCUCGGAAUUACUGGGCGUAAAGGGCGCGUAGGCGGACAGUUUAGUCAGAGGUGAAAGCCCAGGGCUCAACCUUGGAAUUGCCUUUGAUACUGGCUGUCUUGAGUUCGGGAGAGGUGAGUGGAAUGCCGAGUGUAGAGGUGAAAUUCGUAGAUAUUCGGCGGAACACCAGUGGCGAAGACGACUCACUGGCCCGAUACUGACGCUGAGGCGCGAAAGCGUGGGGAGCAAACAGG